CACACACACACACACACACACACACCUCAGCGUCUUCACUGCUCAGCCACUCAGUUUCCACCAGGUUAUUAAACACCUGAAGGCUUAUAUAAGCUUGCAUACAUACACACGGAUGCUACUGCUCCUCCACACACGCUGCAGCCUCACCCUCCAUGAAUGUGGUGGUGGUGUGUGGUGUUAGGUGGUGUUUGGUGGUGUGUGGUGUUAGGUGGUGUUUGGUGGUGUUGGGUGGUGCGGUGGUGAUGAAUGGUGUUGGAUGGUGUGUGGUGGUGUUAUGUGGUGAUGGGUGGUGUGGUGGUGUUAGGUGGUAUUGGGUGGUGUGGUGGUGUUAGGUGGUGUUUGGUGGUGUGUGGUGUUAGGUGGUGUUGGGUGGUGUGUGGUGUUAGGUGGUGAUGGGUGGUGUGGUGGUGUUAGGUGGUGUUGGGUGGUGUGGUGGUGAUGGGUGGUGUGGUGGUGUGUGGUGAUGGGUGGUGUGUGGUGAUGGGUGGUGUAGUGCUGGGUUUCUGGUGACCCCGUGUGAUCGUGGGAGGGGGUUCGGUGUCUCCAUGUGACUGGAGACCAGUUUCUAAACAGGAAGUCAACAUGACGUCAGCAGAUUUCUACUGAUUCAAACAGUCAAUUAAGAACAACGGGGAGAAGAUGUGUGUCAUUGUUUGUUGUGUAUCUCUGUUCCCAGUGACUUAAGUUGGUUUGGUGUGACACACACACACACACACACUCACACACACACUCACACACACAGUCACACACACACUCACACACACAUGCAGGUGGUGUGCGAUCCGAUCCGUCUGAUUGGACAUGGAGGGUUUUCCUCGUGAGGCGGAUCGUUCCCAGACAGGAAGUGCUGAGGGAGAAAGAUAAGAGAGCGGGAGGAAGGGGAAGAAGAUCUUCAUCAUCACAGCAGCUGGACCAAGUGGACCUUCCAGACCUGAGGGUCUCCUGCCUGAGGAACGUCCCUGAGGGAACACCUGACACCUGAAACCAAUUACAUCCACUGUGUGCUGCAGUCAGUCAGAUGGAGACAGCGGGACGGUAGUCAAAGACGGAGACGCUUUUUAUCCAAUCCAAAAAGCGUCUCCAUCAUGAAACAAACAGAAGACCUGAGCAGAGGAAUUCCUCCACGUGUCAAACAGAAGGGGGACGAGUGCAGACGGACCACUUUAUGAUUGGCUAGCUGCUAGGCUAAGCUAGCUGCUAGGCUACUUCCAUCUCAACAUCUAGCUGUAGAGGACCACUGCUGUGUCCCUAAAAGAAAGAAAAAGUGGUGUGAAAACGUCCUGCUAAACGUGGGACAUUGUCAAAUUACAUCACAGGUCAUGUAGCAGACGCUUUUAUCCAAAGCGACUUACAUCACACUUUAAACCCACAGCUUUUUCACAUUUUGCCCGGGGAGCAAUUAGGGGUCAGAUGUCUUGCUCAGGGACACUUCAACAUGGAACAUGGGGCAGCCUGGAAUCGAACCACCAACCUUGUGCUUCCCAGCACACCUUCUCUAACCCCGGCGCCACGACGACCCCCAAAUGAGAGUAGAGAGCAAAGUGCACGAGGACGACAGGAAGAGUCCAACAUGUUCACACUGAAAUAACCUUAAACAACAGUGUCGAUUACACACAUUCUUACGUGCUAAUAGACUUUCUCUGCAGAGUUUUAGAUGUAGAUGUUUCUCCGUCUGACCAUCUGUGUGUGUGUUUGUUUUGUAAUGUUUGUACCGUAUUAAAUCACAAUAACAAUAAGACACACUGAACUGUUGACUGGCCGCUUGUUGGUUCCAUUUACACACCAGCCGGGGUUUUCUUUGUCUUCAUCUUGUUCAUCUUAGUUUACCACCUAAAUGCUUCCAUAUACGGAGC
ensembl:lncRNA